GCACCGGCUAACUCCGUGCCAGCAGCCGCGGUAAUACGGAGGGUGCGAGCGUUAAUCGGAAUUACUGGGCGUAAAGGGUGCGUAGGUGGUUAGUUAAGUUAUCUGUGAAAUCCCUGGGCUCAACCUGGGCAGGUCAGAUAAGACUGGUUAACUCGAGUAUGGGAGAGGGUAGUGGAAUUUCCGGUGUAGCGGUGAAAUGCGUAGAGAUCGGAAGGAACACCAGUGGCGAAGGCGGCUACCUGGCCCAAUACUGACACUGAGGCACGAAAGCGUGGGGAGCAAACAGGAUUAGAUACCCUGGUAGUCCACGCCGUAAACGAUGUCAACUAGCUGUUGGAUAUAUGAAUAUAUUUAGUGGCGAAGCAAACGCGAUAAGUUGACA
rnacentral:rRNA from 1 species